GCCAUCAGGGAUAGCUCAGUCGGUAGAGCAUGGGACUCUUAACUUCAGGGUUGUGGGUUUGAGCCCCACGCUGGGCA
rnacentral:tRNA from 1 species